rnacentral:misc_RNA from 1 species
AGGCCGUGAAGAUCUCCCUGCUCACUGUGGUCGCUAUUCUUUAGGCGGACGCUUCCUCCCGUCAUCUCUUUGCUCGCUCGCACCGACAGCAACUCCUCCUAAAAGUACGCGCUGUGAGGGCUAUCGGGUAGGUUUACUCAGACAGCCGCACCCCCCUCAUAGAUUCACAACUCCCUCUCUGUAGACGCACCACUAACCAUAGACAACCAGGACGAUAAUGCUCUCUGCAGCUGAUAUACACGCGUUUGUUCGCGACGAGCGCGCCUGGAAGCGUGCAGCGCAGAAACCGGGUGGCGACGACGCCCUUGCUGCUGGCAUGAUCUCCAGCAAAGAGAGCAACUGGCUUGUCUUCCGCCGUGGGACCAGCGACAACGCGUUUUCCUUGAAGUUCUCCAACGCCCUUCGCGCUUCCGCGUUCACCGACAGCUUUGGCACUGCUGCUUCGUCCAACACCCAUUCUGCGGUGCCGCGCCAGCGUUGGAACAGCAGCGCCCGCUGCGACUCGGAAGACGCGUACGCAGAUCCCUUGCAGCAGCUCCUCAUACGCAAUAUGAAACGGAAAGGAGUUGCAGCCAUGCUGAGCAAGAGGAGAUUGCCACAGCUUGCACGCCCGUCCUACAUCAGCCAUGCUGCCCGAGAGGCGCGUCGCCGAAGUGAUCUCACGCGUGCGGCACAGGAGCUGAUAGAUCUGGAGCGGUUCGAGCGCCACCAGGUGGUGGCGAUGGCGAGGAGUCGCUUUGACACUAUGGUGUCCGCAUUCUUCGUGGCCGCCGAAAAGGAUAUGAUCGCAUGCGAGAUUAGCGGGCGAAGAGCGCUUUUCCGCGAAUGGCAGGAGGCUCGGCGCAACAUGGCAGCAUCCAUGGACCGGGAGUUCUCCAAGCUCACAUCAAUGACGCCGCACGGGUUUAAGGCAAUCUGCCGCCUCAUCCGUUCCGAGGACGUCAUGCGCAGACGGGUUCAGGCGACCGAAGCGCAGGACCGAGAUUUGUAUGCGCGUUUCAUGCACCUCGAGCGUCUCAAGGCACUGGGGAAGGAGUUGAACGAGCGCCCUCGGCGCGACGUGCUGCAUGAGGCCGCUGCCGUGCUCGCUCUUGCGCAGAAAGAAAGGGCUCGACACGUCGACGCAGCACGUGGGCACGGCUCCCAUGCGACGUCCGUAGGUCGGGUCAACGGAAAACGGCUGUGAUCGCGGUCGAUGAGGGGUAGAUUUGCUUUAGAGGGCACUUGGUUUUGCGCACGUACACAGCGCGUGGACACCAGGGGAAGAGGGGAGUGUAUCAUUCAUUCUCGCAUUUCGCUGUGUGUUUCGUGGGUGCCAUUGUGCCACCGAGGCUUUGCCGCUCGCCAGCCAAUUCGACCGUUACGCCUGGGCGUGCUGAGCACUGCGGAUGGCAACCGCGUCCAACCGGCGCCGCGCGGCGCACCCAUCUGUGACAGGAGAAAACCACUAAAGAAACAGUUCGACGCCUCUGCCACCCUUUUUGGCGUUCCUUCGGCUUUCAGGCGGUGUGAGUCGAGAAAGCUAUGCGAACGUAAGGGGCGCCGCGCUGGCCCAUACCCGAGUUGUGUUGCUCGUCUUUCUCUUCACUGUCC